GCCAUUACAGCACGUGUGUAGCGUGUUACACAUGUGCCAAACUGCUUAAAGUGUGUUAUUUACCCUCUAGAAAGGUUUAUCACAGCUAAAAGUAUGUCGUUUUGACCCACUGAAUGAAAACGACCCAUUACACAUGUGUCGUUUCUUAUAUACAUUACAUAUAAACAUGAUUGUUACAAGUGAUAACACAAUCACUUGUAAAAAUCAUACUUCAUAUUCCCCCUGGCCCUGGCAACAAAUGUGACAUAGCAACGAGUGAGACUGUUUAAAUGGUAGCUAGCUAGUUAGUUCAACCAAGUAUAUAGUACAGUACAGUCGAGACAACUGUUUACUUCAAAGAAUUGAACUGCUGAAACCACUCUCAACUCUGAAACUACCCGUGACUCUACUUGUUUUUUUGGCUGAUGAGUCAGUAAUUCUCCUUUCUCAACAAUGGCAGACUCCUUCGAUUGUGAUAGUGUACGAAACAGAGGGCUCAAAGGUAGGCCAUCCUAACCACCGAGCUAGCUGUCUGAAUCUUAAUAUAUACUGGUUCCUGUCAGGGCACAAAUUUGAGGCCCUCUUAACUAUCCUCAAACUUCUCGAGUCUCUCUUCAUAGAGUGUUUGAUCACUGGGGAAGUUGGUUCUUUCCGCUUUCUCUAACAUUUAUUUUUGCGGUCUGAUUCUUUUUUCUAGCCGUUGUCAAGGCAUUUACACAAAUUUAAGUACAUCAGCAUAAUUAUUCUGAGUUAUUAUUCUGCAGGUAGGCCAUCCACCCUCCAAGUGAGCUAGCUGUCUGAAUCUUAAUACUGGUCCCUGUCAGGGCACAAAUUUGAGGUAGGCCUUCCUAACCACCCUCCAAGUGAACUAGCUGUCUGAAUCUUAAUACUGGUCUGAAAUAGGUAUGAAGUACAAGUUCAAAGGACUAAAGGACUGUAGUAAAGACUUAUAAUUAACUGGAUGCAUGCAUGCAAGUUUUGCAAACACUUCUGUUUCAUUUUCAGUUAUUAUAAUUAUGCUAUAGACUCGUCAUUAUUGUUU